AUAAUCCUUUAUUUUAACGCCUAAAUCACCAAAGUUGUCAAACCUAGUUUCUUUAUAAAAGGGAUCCAAUGUCGGAUUUAAAACAAUUUCAGUUGAUUUUUCAUUAUCAGACGUUGAGUUCGAAAAACUAACUCUUCCAUUAUCAAUCCCAAAUAAUUCAUGAACCAUGGCUUGAUAAGUCCACUGGGUUAAAAGAGGAGUAAUAGGGUCGUUUUUACGAUCAAGUAAAAGAAGUAUUGGUGCAGUGUCAGGCUUUCGAAAAUUAAAUAAUUGAGAUUCAUGCUGAAUUGUAUAACUGACUUCUUCAGCAAGCUUAAGGCACAAUAAACUAUUGUUAUCGUAUCGAAUAACAGGCUUUUUCUUUAAAGAUAGUAAAAGAGAAAUAAUGCCUUGAUGAGUUCUAUGAAAAGCACCAUCUUGCCAAUUGUCU